UACAGAGGUCCCAAGCGUUGUUCGGAUUCAUUGGGCGUAAAGGGCGCGUAGGCGGCGCGGUAAGUCGGGUGUGAAAUCUCGGGGCUUAACUCCGAAACUGCAUUCGAUACUGCCGGGCUUGAGGACUGGAGAGGAGACUGGAAUUUACGGUGUAGCGGUGAAAUGCGUAGAUAUCGUAAGGAAGACCAGUGGCGAAGGCGGGUCUCUGGACAGUUCCUGACGCUGAGGCACGAAGGCCAGGGGAGCAAACGGG
rnacentral:rRNA from 1 species